rnacentral:rRNA from 1 species
AGCAGUCGCCGCGGGAACACGAAGGGUGCAAGCGUUACUCGGAAUUACUGGGCGUAAAGCGUGCGUAGGUGGUCGUUUAAGUCUGUUGUGAAAGCCCUGGGCUCAACCUGGGAACUGCAGUGGAAACUGGACGACUAGAGUGUGGUAGAGGGUAGCGGAAUUCCUGGUGUAGCAGUGAAAUGCGUAGAGAUCAGGAGGAACAUCCAUGGCGAAGGCAGCUACCUGGACCAACACUGACACUGAGGCACGAAAGCGUGGGGAGCAAACAGGAUUAGAUACCCCAGUAGUCCCUGUCUCUUAUAC